AGCAGCAGCCGCGGGAAUACGUAGGGUGCAAGCGUUAAUCGGAAUUACUGGGCGUAAAGCGUGCGCAGGCGGUUAUAUAAGACAGAUGUGAAAUCCCCGGGCUCAACCUGGGACCUGCAUUUGUGACUGUAUAGCUAGAGUACGGUAGAGGGGGAUGGAAUUCCGCGUGUAGCAGUGAAAUGCGUAGAUAUGCGGAGGAACACCGAUGGCGAAGGCAAUCCCCUGGACCUGUACUGACGCUCAUGCACGAAAGCGUGGGGAGCAAACAGGAUUAGAUACCCGCGUAGUCCCUGUCUCUUAUAC
rnacentral:rRNA from 1 species